rnacentral:tRNA from 1 species
GGAGUGGUAGCUCAGACUGGGAGAGCGGUGGGCUGACUCCUCACUUGUCGAGGUCAAGUCCCUCCCACUCCA